rnacentral:piRNA from 1 species
CUGCGUGCAAGGCCUCCUGAGCC